rnacentral:rRNA from 1 species
GCGAGCGUUGUUCGGAAUUAUUGGGCGUAAAGGGUGCGUAGGCGGCCUGACAAGUCUGAUGUGAAAUCCCUGGGCUCAACCCAGGGCCUGCAUCGGAAACUGUCGGGCUUGAGUAUGGGAGAGGUGAGUGGAAUUCCUGGUGUAGCGGUGAAAUGCGUAGAUAACAGGAGGAACACCUGUGGCGAAAGCGGCUCACUGGACCAUAACUGACGCUGAUGCACGAAAGCUAGGGGAGCAAACAGG